rnacentral:lncRNA from 1 species
GGUAAGUAUAUUUGAUAUCUUACAAUGAACAUGAUAGGUGAGAGCUUCUUAUAUCAGUAGACAAUAUUAUUAUUAUUGAAAAUAUUACUUGUAUUUAUUAUAGGUUGCCCACGAUUCAUAAGGGCAGACAGAGGAAAGGAAAAUCUUCUCGUCGGACAGAUGCAAGUGGCAUUUCACUUCCGGGAGUCUGGUGAUCAAGGACGAGACUCCUUCAGAGUGAGCACAUCAGUACAUAACCAGGCAUGUGAGCAUAAAUGGAUUUAUAUAUUAUAAUGCAUGCAAUACAUAUAUAUAUAUAUUAUAAAAAGAAAUAAUAUUUAUUUUGUUUUAUUUGCGAGCUGAAUGCUUCAACAGUAUGCUGAAGAAAACAUGGAUCAAAAAAUGGCAGGUGAUCAUUUGAGGUGAACUUUGUUUUUGUCUCAGUUGGAAUGUAUAGCACAUGCUUAUUGAUGCUAAAUUGAAGGCAUUUUUGUAAUAGAUUUACUUAUCUAAAAAAUGUGUGUUUUUAGGCCAUGAUGGAAUCUGGCAUGCUCAAUUUAGACAAUCCUGUACACAUAAAUUGCCUGCAAUAUACACACCUUCCCCUUCUUGAGAGAGAGCUGAACAUAGAGCAAAGACUGUGGAACACUCACGACAUUCGCAAGCAAAGGAAUGCUCCAGGUCCAUUUGGGAAACCAGACCUUCUCUUUACUUCCCCACCCGAAGGUAUCUGUUUAUCAUCCAAAUUAAAAAGGUUCAGAAAAGCAGUACUCAAUGUGAAAAAGGAAUUUGUAUCUUCCUGCAGGCUUUGCUGAUAUGCUCUGCAAAGUAGACAACGACCUCCUGAAGUAUGCAGAACAGCUUGUUUGUGGAGUAGAUGAGCCUUUGUUGGUGGCAAAUGAAGAAUUCAGAAAAAUAUCAGAGGCUAUUCUGCAAAAUACAAACUUCACCAUCAUCACCAGAUGGGUCUUUGGCGGCUUACCUCAUGUUGGUGGAGAAAUUCACCACAGUCCUUCAAACAAGAGGCACUCCCAUUCCAUCCACAUUUGCAGAGGCAAAUGAAAUAUACCAACUGCUGGCCAAUGAGACAGGGACUUUUUAAACUGCUCAUCAACAAAAUAAAUACAUAUAAAGGGACCAAAUUAUUAAAAAAGUGCUACAAAUGAAGAUGCAAAACAUGUUUAAUGAUGUGAACAUACAUUGAAACAAAUAAUGAAACAUACCAGCAGUGUUAGACAGAGAGAGAGAGAGAACGGCUGUGAUUAUAAUGUUAACAUUUUACCAACAUUGGUUUUUGUACUACAAACUGAAAUGACAACUUGCACAGUCCAUGUGAUAAUCUGUAACAUUUACCAUUCGUAACCAUAACGGCUCUUUAAAUCUGGCCCCUCCACUGUUUUUAGGGACAGCACCACAGAGGAAGCUUCAGGUCUCGAUGCUACAUCAUAGUGUAACAUUGUACCAAUAAACUGGUACUUGUCGCUCAGAUGUUGUAAAGCAUGUGGUGGCACCUUUUUGGCCAUUAGACUGCACAACUCUCUUUGGGUUUUCUACUGUCCAUGGCACUGAUUCGUGAAAAUCUCCAGGUAUGUUGCUCCCAGAGACCAGAUGUCAGAACUUCUGGAAGCCUGUUCAAAUUCAACCAGACACGCCAUAUAAAGAAAGGUUUCACCCAUUGGCCCUAUUCCUCCUCCAGUAAGUCUGCUUCCUUGUCGUAGUACAACCGUGUCUCUGAUGUUGGCAAGGCCCCAGUCUGUCAGUACAGCCUUUUUUGAGAACUGGUCGAUCUGUUUAUAGUAUCAAAAUAGGUUUUUAAUCAUUAAAUGUAUAUGUUUUUACAUAUACUUACUGAUUAACUAGAAAAAAGUCUUACCAAAAUAUUGGGUGGCUUUAAAUCUUGAUGGAUGACAUUUUUGGAAUGGAUGUACUCAAUGGCCAUCGAGCUGUCGAGGGCAACAAAAUAACUGUCAUCUCCUUCAAGCUAAAAAAAAUUACAAUUGAAAUUUGAAUAACAGACUUAUGAAAGAGUUUGAAAGAGUUAUAUUUCACCAAAGACAGAGAUACACGCACAACACAGCAUAAUCUUACACAAAAAAAUAAAUAAAUAAAUAAACAACAAGAGACAAUUUUGUUAAGGUUUUUGUUGCCUGAUUUGCUUUACUAUUAGAAAACAAUAACACAUGUACAGUUGUCGUUAUAUUUAUAAAUAAUUGUUGCCUACUGACGUAUGCAUGAAAAAGAUUGUGAAGAUUGCAUGAAAAAGAUUGUGAAGAUAACUCUGCUACAUUUACUGGUAACACUUUACAAUAAGGUAAUUUGUUACCAUUAGUUAAUGUAUUAACUAACAUGAACUAACAA